UAUAUAUGCAUAUACAACUGCAUCAAGCAAAAGCAAUAUAUAGUUAGGGUAAAGUAAAGUAGCUAAUCAUGUUAUUUAUAGGUUAAAUUACAACUAAAAGAAAACAACUAAGUAUAAAGAACUACUAGACACAUAUAGGGGACUGAGAGCGAAACGAAAAUUUAUCGAAAUUGUCUAUUUGAGUUAUCAUUUGUAAACAUUCAAUAUUAAAUAACCUUUUUUCUCAACUAUAUUAAGAAAUUUUGCUGUAAGAUGGUUGAAAACUUAGAUAUAAAUGUUAAAGUAACAAAUAAAUCGGAGUGUAUCUUCAAGAAUACUUUAAAAAAUGAAGGAAAUAAUUUAAAUUCAUUAAUUUCCAAUUUAAAGUCCAUGCAACAAAAAGUUAACGAAGUUCUUACGGAUCUCGUCCAGGUUGAACAAAGCUUGAACCAAGGAAAAAAUCUAGGCGAUAAUGACGAAUCUGAUGAUGACGACGAUUCAGAUGAGGAGGAAAAUUCAAAACCAAAAAAAUGCAAAUAUUAUAGAUGAAAAUACUGAUGUCGAUUCCGUUCAUUAAAAAAAUGCGCUCUGAAGCCGCAUAUAUACGUAUAGUAUAGAGUGACUGAGUCGAACUUGGAAAGCCGCAAUUACGCGAAUGGCAGGAAGCCGUGGUAUACGUGAAUGUAAACAAAAACCGACAAGGGAAAGGAAUAUUGCGCCUUAAAAGGACGGAUACAACGUACUAUAAUUGAUGAAAAAUGUCGACAACUUUAUCGAAUCAAGCACAAAUUCGGUACGUUAUAGAAUGGUUCCAAGAGUGGUCAGAAAUGCAAAGAGACGAUUUUGUGGGUAUAUUACUGGAAAGAUGUAGUUCUUCAGGACUAGUAAAUGGUUUACUUACUGGUAUUGAAAAUCUUGGGAAAGAAAAUUCCAGUAGACCACCAAGCCUUUUCCAGUGUCGUAUUAAGCUCUUUCGAGAGUGGAGUCAAAAUUGGUCCGAACAAGAAAAGGAGAUGUUGGUAACGUCAAUCAAACAUAUGGAUCCUAAGUUUGCUGAAAAAUAUGAACAAAGGCUUACUGAAGGUAAUGACAGUGAAGCAGAGAAAGCAGAAGAAGAAUCAUAAGAGAUAAAGACUUAUACAUUGUAUUUUAUAUAUACGUAUAUAAAGAUGUAUAAUUUGUUUGAUUUUAAAAAAAAAGAAAAUGUGAGAGACAGAACUGCUAUUUUUGUGAUCUAUAUACGUUCUACAAAAUAAUAAGAUUGCCCUUUUUGGCAUCUAUCUAGUCUGUCAUCGGUUUUUGUUAAUCAUCGAACACAUUCCACUAAGACAGUACUUCACAAAAUCAUAAUUAUGUACUAUUUAUUACUUUUUAUUACAUACUUUCAUUUAUAUUAUAAUCUACCCUAACUCAUACACUGGUAGAAAUUUUUUUUUAGACUUCACAAAAAUUAUUUCGGAGUGCUAUUUUAACUCUGUUAUCAAAAAUACUGUAAUAUUACUUUAACAUAAUAAAAUUGAGUUGAAUUGAAAACUAUUAAAUUUUCACUGUUUUGUUAGUCUUAUGUUUAUUAUGUUAACUUUCCACCAGUGUAUAAAUUUAUUUUUGCGGACAGUUUAGUAGAUGCACAAAUACAGUAGAAAUUUCAGCUUGCACAUACAUUGCAGAUUAACAUAAUCAAUUACUAACAUUUGUUAUUCCAUGUAAUACAUAUCACAGACCCAUACUAAAAUUUGGUUAUUACAUGCCAGUACCACUAACAUUACAUCACUAUGUGGUUUGGCAGUCUCGUUACGCUCGAGAAAUUGUUAUUUCAUUGUAGUAUACAUAUUGUCGUUUUAAUUGUUAUUAAUGUACGACGCAACUCGCGACAAUAUUGAAAUCUCGCGAUACAAUAUAAAGUAAAACUUUUAAUUACUAUAUUCGCCCGUAUUGCUUAAAUAAAUAAAAUAAAAAUAUGAUUUACUGUGUAAGGACAACGUGCCCUAUUACACUUGAAUACAAUAAAAGCUUUGUAAGCUAAAAA